CUGUUCACGCAGUACAUAUAGAUCUACUAAAAUUGGAAGGAUACAGAGAAGAUUAGCACGGCCCCUGCGCAAGGAUGACACGCAAAUUCGUGAAGCGUUCCAUAUUUUU
rnacentral:snRNA from 1 species